UACGAAGGGGGCUAGCGUUGCUCGGAAUCACUGGGCGUAAAGGGCGCGUAGGCGGAUCUUUAAGUCGGGGGUGAAAUCCUGGAGCUCAACUCCAGAACUGCCUUCGAUACUGAGGAUCUCGAGUCCGGGAGAGGUGAGUGGAACUGCGAGUGUAGAGGUGAAAUUCGUAGAUAUUCGCAAGAACACCAGUGGCGAAGGCGGCUCACUGGCCCGGUACUGACGCUGAGGUGCGAAAGCGUGGGGAGCAAACAGG
rnacentral:rRNA from 1 species